GAAACACAAAGGGGCAAGAUAACCUGGACUCGCUUGCUGCCACAGAAAAUUCAGCAGGAUGACCUACCUCUGGCUUCUUUGGCUGUUGUUUUUUCACACAUAAAGACGCAAGAGACAGCUGUUGCACGUGCAUCAUCAUUUCUGUGGAGAAGACAGAGGGUUUGUGCCAAAGGCUUCCAGUCUUCACUUACCUAGCACAGCCCCUUCCUGGGCUGCAGGACUAAACUCGCUGGGCCAGCCCACUGAAUCACUCCAGCCUUGCCUGCCACCUUCUGGCUACACAUCCCCUCUGCAUCUCCUGACAGCGGAGGUUAAGGACUGGGUCCUCUAUCCCUGGAACAGCACCUGAGCGGGUGUCAUGCUCUUUUGCAGCAUUGAAUACAACUCAUCUUUGAACAGAAGGUGCCUCAUGGCUUGCUAAGGACUUUAAGGCACCACUGAAGAGCUGUGGCUGUGAGGGAGGCCAUGCUGUGUGAACUACUCAGCUGUACCCUCAGGUGAAAGACCAGCAAGGGCUAAACAUGCUAGCACUCCUCUAACAGAGAAAGGCAGGGAAGGAAAUCAAGUCAGAAAUGGCUGAUUUUUCAGUGAGAUGAAGCCCUCCACAUCCCAGACCAGGAACUUCCCCUGUACAGCCUCUAGACUCCCCUGGAAGAUCUUGGUACCAAGGGGUGGGGCAGCGCCCCAGUCAGCACCUAUGGGCUGUCCCAUCUGGACCAAUCCUCUAAAAUGGAUCACAGAAAACUCCAGACUCAAGAAUGGAGCUGGGUAUGAAACCACUCACUGCCACCUGGUUCAAGACAACUAUUCUAGUGUAAACAGGCUGCAAACAGGUUGUUUACAGUGUGAAAAAAGAAGGAGCACAAAAUUUACAGCUGAGUAAAACUGAGAGUGGUGGGCCACACUACACACUCUGGUGAGACCAUGGACAAUUUGCCUAAUCCCUUUGAGGCUCAAUUUCCUCAUCUGUAUAAUGGGGACAGGACUGUAGUGAGGAUUAAAUGAGGUAAUUCGUAGCACAGAGUCAAUACCUG
rnacentral:lncRNA from 1 species